ensembl:lncRNA MFF-DT MFF divergent transcript
CAGCCAGCUCGGGCGGCAGGUCGCGGGUCGGGAAGACGUCAACACUCACCCCUGGGCCCACAGGAGGGUCCCGGCGAGGACCCCCGCCCUCUGGCUCCCGGGGCGCUCGAGUGGGCGCUCUCAGAGGUGGUUGGCUGAGAGCACGGAGGCGCCCAGGGACAGCACCGGCGGAGCGGCCCGCAGAGGGCCAGGGCAGAAGCGCGAAAGGCGCGGGCUGGCCCCUUCUGGGAGCCGUAGCGGAAGAGUGUUCGUGGUCAUGUGACGCGGAAAAGGGCGGACGCGUGGCCCACGCACUGGAACGGCUCCACGUCCUGCAGACACAUUCUGGGACUGCACCUUAUGAGUGCUGCUCACUCUGUUUCCUGCAGAAGACAUACAGAGCCGUUCGCAUAGAGUAGGGCCAUGAUUUUGAUUCAGCAAUUCUUCAAACCACUGAUGCUGGUUGACCAUUUGACUUUGUUUUUGAAGUAUUUUUUACAUACAGUGUACAGAACAUUUCCGCUGGAUAUUUGGAUACUGAACAGGAGUAACAAGAGGAACAGCUCCUACCUCCCCCCUGCCCCUUCCCUCACAAGCCUGUGAGUCAGGGCAGGGGCAGCCACUGAAAGUAGCAGAGGCCUUCAUAAAGGAGAACACUUCUCCAUGUUGCCAUCAUGUGAAGAAGGACAUGUUUGCUUCUGCUUCUGCCACGAGUGUAAGUUUACUGAGGACUCCCCAGCCGUGCUGAACUGUUGAAGGCAAUGGUGAUGAAAGUAAAUAUUUAAAAACACUACCAUAGCUGUCCCAAAUUUCAGAAAAACAAGGUACCACUGGAACCAUUUAAUUUUGUUGGAACACAGAAUGACCAUCUUGUGAUCAGUUUUCUGCAUCUUUAAAAUACCUGGAAGGUCAUCUUUAAAUAGUACAAUCUGAUAAAAGUUUAAUACUUAGUGUAGACUUAUAUGAAUACUUCUACAUUCAUACAUUUUUGUAUACUUAUACAUUUUCAUACUCAAUUAAUGCUUAAUUCAAAAAAUAUCUGAGUACCUGCAGUGUUCCCCAUGCUACAUACUGGGCUUAAACAGCCAAAAAGACACAGUCUUUGACCUCAAAAUACUUUGAUUCUUGUAAGAAAAACUGACAAAGACAAAGAGAAGGCAAUGUGAAAACUUCUACAGUUGGGAUAACCUUGGAGGUUACAGGAUGUGGACUCACUGAAAGCUUUCUGCUGGACUUGAACUUGAAGCUGAAGUCUGAAGGACAGAUGGGUGUUGCUUAGCGAAGGGAAAGUAGGAAGCAAAGACCCCUGGACAGAGUGUAGCAGGCACAGAGGGAGCAUGACACCUUCGGGAGAGAGCCGCAAGCACCUGGGCCCAGAUCCCAGCUUUAGCUUCAUUAGCCCUGUGAACUCUGUAUGUCAGCCUUGACAUAGAAAAAAAGAGGAUACUAAACCUCCAUCUUAAAAGAGACUUGGAAGAAGCUGGGAUUAUAGGCACACCACCACACCUGGCCCCAGAAAAGGGAAUCCUUGACCUGCAAGAAUCGAGGAAUAUUGUUUCUGACAUGCUCAGUGGACCUACUGCUGGUGUUCUUAACCAUUUCCUUCCUAAGUGGAACUUCUUUUGAGGUUAAUGUUUAUAUACAAUUACUUUAACAUUGGAUUUGGGAAAUGGAACAACAUACUGCGGAUCUUUCUGCUACCGAUGAAAGAAGAAGGUUGAGUUUUACCUUCUAGAGCUUUACAGUGUAAACAAGCAGUAUUAGGGUUUGUUUUUACCUUCUCCCCUUUGGCCCCGUCACAGAAGCACUGGCCUUUGUCUUUACAGACACAACCCUAGGAAGAGGGAAAGAGAAAGGGUUUUGUUUAGAAACAGCUGAAUAAAUCCCAACCGGCAGGGUAAAAGCAAAUGCAUUUCUCUGUUCUUCGAGUAUUGGACACUAUCUGUUAGGAGCCAGGUGACCUUGUAGCAAUAUAUCAAUAGAAAUAUAUCAAUAUAUGAAUAGCAAUAAAGUAGAAAACUGAGAACAUGUUGCAUAAGGGAGAAAUGUCGGAUAAGAAUACAUCAUUUGUAUUGUACUUGGGAAUUUUAAGUGUUAAAGUAAUGGCCGUUUUUGCCAUUACUUUUAAUUACCUUUGUACCAACCUAAUAAUUUAUAUAUGGAAACGACAAAGCUAUCCUUUUUUUCAGGAUAAUAUCUAAUUGAAUCAUAAGAAAUUGCUGCUGUCAUAGUUAAAAAGUGGUCAAAUACUGGCAAAUUCUUAGGUUCUACAUAAUGUUCAUAUAUGUGUAUGUGUAUAUAUGUAUAAUGUAUACAUGUAUAUGUACCUUUUAUGUAGAACACAAUGUAUUUGGUUAGUGCCAUUACUUGGACAAUUUUUUUGCCAUUACUUUCAAUGGCAAAAGCCACAAUAACUUUUGCACCAACCUUAUAUAUAUUUGUGUAGAUUAAUAUGCAAUAUAUUCCAUAGGUGAUAUUAAGGUUUUCUUUGACUUAAAUAAUGUUUAAGACUGGGAAGAGGAUCAAUACCCAUUACACAUCUUUAAAGAGAACAAACUAACUCAUUAAUGCUAGUAUCAGAAUGUUCUUUCUUUUUUUAUUCUCAAAUAUUUUGAACAACAGAAUGUUCUUUCUUAUAAAACCAAAACCAAAACAAAAAAUUCAGCUGUGAGUUAGACAUACCUUAUCCUACCUAACUAGUCACUGUGACACACUUACCCCCCAGCCCUCACACCUAUGCACAUUCCAGCUCCAAUGGACAUCAAAUUUUUAAAACUUUUCUCUGCCAGCAGAGGAACAAAUAAAGAAAUAGUUUCAAAUAAUAGACUUAAAAUGUGUUUUGGCUGGGCACAGUGGCUCAUGCCUGUCAUCCCAGCACUUUGGGAGGCCGAGGCAGGCAGGUCACUUGAGGUCAGGAGUUUGAGACCAACCUGGCCAACCUGAUGAAACCCCAUCUCAACUAAAAAAUAUAAAAAUCAGCUGGGUGUGGUGGUGGGCUCCUGUAAUUCCAGCUACUCCAGAGGCUGAGGCAGGAGAAUGGCUUGAACCCAGGAGGUGGAGGUUGCAGUGAGCUGAGAUCAUGCCACUGCACUCCAGCCAGGGUGACAG